rnacentral:sRNA from 1 species
AGAUAGAAGCUUGUAAUGGUAGUAGCAUCAGCAUUGUCUGGAAGGAACUAUCAGUGAAGAUUCUAUUGAAGAACACAAGGAUUAUGUCCCAAGUGGUAUAGAAUCAGUGGAUAAACCAUCAUGCACCACAUUACCAUCAAAGAAAAAAUGGACAAUGGAAUAGGACAUUUGAAUUUUAUAUGGACUUUAAAGAUUAAAGUGUACCAAGAGAGGCAGAAGCACUGAAAGUAAAAAAACAAUUGCAAAUUUCUUGCUGAUAGAAGUAUUCAUCAGAAAAAGAGUAAAAUGCAACAUAUGCUGAGACUUAAUCAGCAGAUACGAAAGCUGAUUCCAAUGAGCCCCCGUUAAACGUAAUGGCGGAAGAUGAGGAUGCAAAUUUAGGACGUUUGGUCUUGCAGUAACAAAUGAUUCUGUAAUAAACCCUUUAAAUUUAAACAGUAAUUGGAAGAUUAUCUCCUCAUGAAAUACCCUGGACUUAUUUAUAAACAAGAGUCGUCUAUAUGCUUCAUGUUUUAGAUUGAAGAUUGAAUGUGUAUGUGUUAUAUCUGUAUUACUCUCUCUGCUUCCCAUCUGCAACAUGUGUACCUGUGGUGUAACCUCAUGGUUUAGUUUUUAUUCGUUUUAAAAUCUUAAUAUCAGCAAUAAGAUGUUGUAAUUUCUUAUGUGUUACUUUUAUGUUUAAGGUCAAGUGAACAUGAUUGAAAUAUGUAUUGCAUAUAUUUUAAAAGUAUAUUACAAUGUAAUUUAGAAUACUUAACGUUUUUAAAAAAGGACAAUCAUAUUAAUAUCUAAUAUUUACAUGUAGUGUAUAUUUCCCCUUAUGUUUGCAGAGGACAUCUGUGACGUCAAUUUCUCAUGACACCUGUGGGUUUUAGCUCUGCUGGCCAUAGACCAGAAGAGUGUAUGCGAUGAUCUGUUUGUGUAGCUUUCUGUUUGUCUCUCUGUGAACAAUUUUCAAAUGCUACUACUAUUACAGCUAUCAAGAAUGUUCACAUAUAUAUACAUGUCUUGUGUUUGAAAUCAUGCAUGACACAUUUUUCUAACUUUGAGAAAUAGAAUAUAUAAUCUUUAACUGACAAAAGUGUUCCCUUAUUAAUAUUGUUUUACCUCUGCAAAUAAAGGUAUCAUGGUAGAAAGGAUUUACCUUGUCUGUCUGUUAAUCUGUGUCUACAUUACAAGUGUUGAGGAUGGAUUGCUAUGCCAUAGCAAUAUUUUUGGUGGGGGUUAUGCAUUUGCUGCUGCCUUUAUUUGACACAGAGAUGGUCAUGGUCAUGUAGGGAUUCGUCAUGACCUAGACGUGGUAGUACAUGGACAAGGUGACAAGGAAAAUAAUGAUUUGGGGUAUUACCCUAAUACAAAGUCACAAGGAAAAGCGUAUAGGACAUUUUGAUGUGGCCUAAGCUAUAACCGAGAUAAGUUGUUCACACCUUAAUUUUUACAAGUAGUUUCAAACCAAUGGCAUUUGACACUUUAGGCGUCAAUGAUUUUAGUGAAGAGGUUUUCUGGUCUGUUACCAUAUUCUCUUUGAAGAUAAUUAUAGAAACCAAACUUAGAAAACAAUGUAUUUGAAGACAUUUUAUUUUUUUAUCUUUGACACCGGUUAAGGACAAUGUUUUGAUCUAUGUUCAUCUUAUCAAAAGGGGUACACAGACCAAACUUCUUCCUGAGAUGCAUUAACAUAUACUAGUAUAUGAUCAUUUCAAAGCAUGCUUUGCAUGCUGCUUCUGACUUAAAUUACAUAAGUCUGUGAUUCAUAAGCACAGUAUCUAUAUCUUUUUAUUUCAAGGGGUUUACAAAGUAAAUUUCUUCAGUGCAUCACUGGCUGCUCUGUUCAAUGCAUUACAUGUAGUAAAAAAAUCUGCCACCUUUUCAGGAAUGCCCCAUACUAUGCACUGUUGCCAUUAGGAGACAAGUCGUUAGUAAUUCUUCGGUUACUUUUAUAAAACAAAUUCCCUUAACCAUUGCUGUGCCACAGGGCCUAUUUGGGCCUAUUUGAAUAUCUACGUCAAGUGCCACAGGGCCUAUUUGGGCCUAUGGCAAUUUGAAAAAAUAUACAUUAAAAUAAAAAAAAAUAUUAAAUAU